rnacentral:rRNA from 1 species
ACCGGCGCACGGGUGCGUAACGCGUAUGCAACCUACCCUGUACUGGAGGAUAGCCCGAAGAAAUUCGGAUUAAUACUCCAUAGUAAUUAUUAACCGCAUGGUUUGAUAAUUUAAAGGUUACGGUACAGGAUGGGCAUGCGUCCCAUUAGCUAGAUGGUAAGGUAACGGCUUACCAUGGCAACGAUGGGUAGGGGGCCUGAGAGGGUGAUCCCCCACACUGGUACUGAGACACGGACCAGACUCCUACGGGAGGCAGCAGUGAGGAAUAUUGGACAAUGGAGGCAACUCUGAUCCAGCCAUGCCGCGUGCAGGAAGAAUGCCCUAUGGGUUGUAAACUGCUUUUAUUUGGGAAUAAACCUCUUUACGUGUAGAGAGCUGAAGGUACCAAAUGAAUAAGCACCGGCUAACUCCGUGCCAGCAGCCGCGGUAAUACGGAGGGUGCAAGCGUUAUCCGGAAUCAUUGGGUUUAAAGGGUCCGCAGGCGGACUAAUAAGUCAGUGGUGAAAGCCCAUCGCUUAACGAUGGAACUGCCAUUGAUACUGUUAGUCUUGAAUUCGGUCGAAGUGGGCGGAAUGUGUCAUGUAGCGGUGAAAUGCAUAGAUAUGACACAGAACACCGAUAGCGAAGGCAGCUCACU